rnacentral:lncRNA from 1 species
GCGCAGGACUCCACGAUGUCUCCCUGGGAAAUUAGGGCUUUCAGUUCGUUGUUAUUGACUACCGUGGGGAUUUGUUUUCUGCCCUGCUACGUAAAUGUCUUUGUGGGGUCAUUGCCGCCGUGCUUCAGGGAAGGUUUGCACUUCACAGAGGUGGCCCUUUCUUCAGCAUCCAUCACGGUCGUCUGCAAAUGUCAGCAGCUUUGAGUCGGAACUGCUCCAGCCCAGCUCGCCCUCGUGGGCAACCUCAUCAUCUCCCCAACACCAGCCCCCAUCACCAUAGAAUACCUGCUUAGGUGGCCUAGUGUUGCUCCACCACCCUCUUCUCGGCACUAAGCAUUGCUGUUGGGGGUAAAGAUUAGGGGAAAGACUUUGGGCCACACUUUUUUUUUCUUAUUCUAGCCGAAAGCCAGAAUGCACAAAAGGAAGAGGCCAAAGAGAUCCAUGGUGGUUGAGGUGAGAAGAUGCUUGGCUUCUGGACACAAGGAGGAGUGAGGGGAGUAGACACCCUACCAUUCUCUUACUCGUGAGGGACACCUGCAUAGGCUGCUAUAGCCACCGUGGCCGAGAAAAAAACUAGCUCUCCCAAGACGCCCCACCCUAAUCUCUGGAACCUGUGAAUGUGUUAGGUUACAUGGCAAACAGGAUUUAAGGGUGCAGAUGGCAUGAAGGUUGUCAAUCAGAUGACCCCGAAAUAGAGGGAUUAGCCUGGAUUACCUGAGAGGCCGAUGUAAUCACAGGGUCGGUCCUUAAAGGGGGAAGAGGGGAUUGCAAGAGAUGCCAGAGAGACAGCAGCCUGAGGACUCAGAUCAAUGUUGCUGCCUUUGAAGGAGGAGAAGGCGGCCAUGAGGCAGGACAGGCAGGCAGCUUCUAGAAGCUUGAAAAGGCUAGAAAAGGGAUCUCUCUUAGACCUUCUAUACAGGCAACGCACCCUGCCAGCACCUUGUUCUGACCCUGGUGACUUCCGUGUCAGACAUGUGAUCUACAGAACUGUAAGCUGUUAAAUUUGGGGUUUUUUAAACAAAACAAAACUAAAUAUAAAAUUGGCAACAAUUUGUUGCAGCCGCAACAGGGAACUAAUACAAUCUAUAAACCUUAAAUACUCUCAAUUUGUGAACCUUUUGUCAACCAGAAGAAAAUGUCACAUUUGAGAGUUUUCAUAUCAUGUUUUAGAUUUAAAACACUAUCCAGAACUGCACACCUGCUCUGUUUUCCUAGAAAAACCACUUUCUCAUGGCCUACAAAAUUUGCCAUGAUUUUCUUAAGGUGUAUAUGAAGUUAAGCUCUGGUCAACUGGUCAGUUUGGUCUUGCUCUGAAAACUUUCAAAAAAGCAAUUUUGUGUUUGAACCAACUUUGUUAAAUUGGUGAAAGGUGGCCAUGGUUGCUAAGAGAAGCUGCCAGGGUGUUUCCAUGGGAACAGUUGUUUUUAAAUCAGGAAUAACAAGCUCUCUCUGUAAAGAGCUGAAAUAGGGAAGGCAGGGGAGGAGGCUACUUCUUACUUCUUCCUCAUAAAGAGGAAACAGCCAGAGGUUUCCUGCCAGUUCCUGAAGUUCAGCAGACAUUGCCCUGACACUUUGUGAAGGGCAAUAGUAAAUGCAUGGGUUUCAGGUUCAAACAGAUCUGGGUGUGAAUUCCUGAUUCACCAGAGCCACCUGCAAGACCUAGAGUAAGACGCAGAACUACCCUGGGAUGCUGUUGUGUUAGUCAGGAAACGGGGAUUAUGAGAGUAGGACUCACCUCCUGGGAUGGGUGUGGUUCCAUGAGAAAACACACGCAAUGUGUCAUGGACAGUCCCCGGGAAGUAGUAAGAUCUCAAUCCCUGAUGGUGCUGUCAUACUCGGACAAGAGACUGGUUGCAAAGCUCCAUAUUGUGUUUCCAAACCAACUCAGAGAAAGACGUUUUAGAGAUUUCCAAGGCAUCCGGUGCUGAGAGGCGGUUCUCUGGUUUAUGACUGGUAGGAGCUCAGCCCACAUGUCAGUCAGCUUGAGGCAGCCACACUAGUCUGUACUCCCCACAAGGAGCAAGUCCAGUGCUCCAGUGCUUGGCCGUCCUGGUGACACCAUCAAAACUUUGGCUCUCUUGGUGGACUGAGUGGACUGGCCCUGAUUGAGGCACCUGCUUUGAGGUGCACUUCUCUAGGUGGCAGCAACUGUUUAUUUUCUCUGAUUUCACUGGAGAAUGACUGGUGAGAAGGGGCAGAAGGUAAUGGGAGGGGGGCCAGCCCAGGCCGUAAGCAAGCACAGGGACUUUGAUGACUGACCGACCGGUUUGCAGAAGCUUCCACAACCAUAAAGGGAAAAGGCUCAACUGUGUGCAAGGGGCCACGUCUAGGAUGGGGAGCUGGGAAAGUAUCUAAAUACUGAGUUGAACUGGGAGGACCAGACAGGAAAGAAACUAGAGGUUGACCAGUUAUCAGCAGAAGGGCCAUGAGAGGAUGGGGUACAAAUGAUAGACAGGGGGGACCUGGGGCAGCUCUGCCCUGGGGGAUGUGUGUUCCUGGCCUGGCAAGCCCGAGGGGUGAUGGUGAGCUGUCUGUGAGACCAGGCCAGUCAGCUCAGGCCAUCAGAAGAACUCCCCUUGCCGCCAGCAGAGCUGGCCUUCAGGUAAGAUCUCCGUGAGAAACGUUCAUCUGGGCCCAGCGUCAGGCAGCGUCAGACCUUCUUAACUGGUGUCUUCCUGUCUGAGGUCAGAACUGGGGACUUGCUCGGGCGGCCCUUUUUGCCACGGGCUGCUGGAAACCUUAGGGCCACAUAUGUCCUCCAUGUGGCACAUGUGUGAAGUCUCGGGGGCACACGUGUCGGAUUGAGAUUCGGUUCUGCAUUCAUCUUAUGUCCCCACUCUGGUUUGUCUUUCUGACUUAACACUUAAACAUUGAUGACUCGUGCUCCUGAAAUAGAAAAGUAUGCGUUUAAAUUUAACUUGUCUUCAUUUUACAAAUAAUUUUUUUGUCAUUACAAAAUGGUAUAAUCUAUGGUGCGCUGAAAUUUAUGAUCCAAUCUACCUGUAUCUGUGAGGAGUUCCCGUCGUGGCGCAGUGGCUAAUGAAUCUGACUAGGAUUGCAAGUCCUAGGUUGCAGGUUCGAUCCCUGGCCUUGCUCAGUGGGUUGAGGAUCCAGCGUUGCCGUGAGCUGUGGUGUAGGUUGCAAACGCAGCUCGGAUCCCACGUUGCUGUGGCUGUGUCUCAGGCCGGUAGCUAUAGCUCUGAUUAGACCCCUAGCCUGGGAACCUCCAUAUGCUGAGGGAGCGGCCCUAGAAAAGGC